GACGAACGUUGGCGGCGUGCUUAAUACAUGCAAGUCAACUGAAGCAGUGGUAGCAAUAUCGCUGUGGAGGUGGCGCACGGGUGAGUAACACGUAGGUAAUCUGCCUUCAGGUCUGGCAUAACUCCGGGAAACCGGGGCUAAUAGCAGAUGAUGCAGCGGCCCGACAUCGAGACAGUUGUUAAAGCUAUGGCGCCUGAAGAUGAGCCUGCGUCUGAUUAGCUAGUUGGCGGGGUAACGGCCCACCAAGGCAACGAUCAGUAGCUGGUCUGAGAGGAUGAUCAGCCACACUGGAACUGAGACACGGUCCAGACUCCUACGGGAGGCAGCAGUAAGGAAUAUUGCUCAAUGGGAGAAAUCCUAAAGCAGCAACGCCGCGUGAGGGACGAAGGGCUUUUGCUUGUAAACCUCUGUAGUGAGAGAAAAAAAUCCCAAUCUUUGGGACAUGAUGGUAUCUCAAAAGUAAGCCCCGGCUAACUACGUG
rnacentral:rRNA from 1 species